UUUUUUUUUAUUUUUGUUUUAUUUUUAUUUUGUUUUGUACCGUUAGGACUUAAAAGUUUCUUUGAAACUUUUUGCAAGUAAGGGUGGGGUUGUUACGGGUUAAAAGUCGCUAAGCAACUAGAAACGAUUCUUAUAAAUAAGAUUGUCAUAAUUUUUGCUUUAUUGUCACAAGUACUGGCCUAAACAAUUAUAAAAAUCAGGCUUCUAUAUUGUCUUGAACAUUAGCUGCUAUCAAGCCAUUUUUAAGUCCGAAAUCAUAUAGAAAAUCAGGCAUGAAGUAGGCUUUAGGUAUACAUUGCUACCUGUCUAGUAAGGGUCAUCUCUUUGUCUUUACCUGUCUAGUGUCAUAUCUUGCUCACUUUUGAUUUACACUUCAUGAGGACAAGUUAGUAUUGUCCUAUGAAACUCCUUGAGGAUAUUUAAUCAGAAGUAAUCCAGAUAACUAAUUAAGAAAUAUUCAAUUUGAUGAAGUUGACGAUUGUCUUGCUCAGCAAGGAUUUAAAAUAUCUGGAUAUUUAGGUCCCCAAGACCUUUCUUUUUGGCCAUACGCUAUCUUUAAGGCCAACAAUUUUUCUUUCUCUCCAAUUCAUUUUGAUGUUGUGAGUUUUUUUGAAACACCCUUGUCCAGGGUCGAUAUAUUAUAUAACCUGUAUAACUGUGAAGUAUCCAAGUAUGUAAAUGCCGUACGACAUCGUCCACGUGUAUAACAUCGACAAAAGAAAACAUAAGGUAGGAUCAAACCAAUACUUCUCUUAAAAGAACGUUGUUUUGCCUGUCUAAGCCACCACACCAUACAGCAGUCUGACAAAUAUCUCGGUUUUGUAUUUUCUUCUUGUAAAUAGUACCUAAAUAUAAUAUUACAUAGUUUUAAGAAUUAUAAUAUGGGUGUACGCUGAAAAGAAUAUUCUUAGAGGCAAAUAUAAACUUUAGUUGAGUUUUUUACCUUUUCCUUUUGGGUUUUUUUAUAUUUUCAAUUAAGAUUAAUAUGAAUUUUUUUAGUUUUGGUUAAUAAGAAUAAAUAGUUUGUGAAUUCUUCGAUUUUUUUUUUUGAUUUCUUAUUAUUAUUUUUUUGUUUGGUAGAAAAUAAAACUAGUUAUUUACCUUCGCAUACCUUCAAUAAAAACCGGUAACAUCGGCGAAGAGUAACAAUGUA
rnacentral:lncRNA from 1 species